AACCAGAAGGCGCAAUGAAAGUGAAGGCACGGUUGCCGUGCUGAGGUGAGAGCUGUCCCUGGCAGCACAUCAUCGACCGAUCCCAUCCGCACCCUCGUGGCGCGGCGGGAUUCGAGUAAGAGUGUACCUGUUGCGACCCGAAAGAUGGUGAACUAUGCCUGAAUAGGGUGAAGCCAGAGGAAACUCUGGUGGAGGCCCGUAGCGAUUCUGACGUGCAAAUCGAUCGUCAAAUUUGGGUAUAGGGGCGAAAGACUAAUCGAACCAUCUAGUAGCUGGUUCCCUCCGAAGUUUCCCUCAGGAUAGCUGUAGCCCGAAGCAGUUUUAUCAGGUAAAGCGAAUGAUUAGAGGUAUCGGGGAAGAAACUUCCUCGACCUAUUCUCAAACUUUAAAUAGGUAAGAAGUCCGACUUGCUUAAUUUGAAGCCGGA
rnacentral:rRNA from 1 species